CAAAGGAAUUGACGGGGCCCGCACAAGCGGAGGAGCAUGUGGUUUAAUUCGAUGAUACGCGAGGAACCUUACCUGGGCUCGAACGUAAGAUGACUGUAGGUGAAAGCUUACAUCUCUUCGGAGCAUUUUACGAGGUGCUGCAUGGUUGUCGUCAGCUCGUGCCGUGAGGUGUCGGGUUAAGUCCCAUAACGAGCGCAACCCCUACCUUUAGUUGCCAUCAGGUUAAGCUGGGGACUCUAAAGGAACUGCCUACGCAAGUAGUGAGGAAGGCGGGGAUGACGUCAAAUCAGCACGGCCCUUACGUCCAGGGCUACACACGUGCUACAAUGGCCGAUACAGAGGGCAGCUACCUGGUGACAGGAUGCAAAUCUCCAAAGUCGGUCUCAGUUCGGAUCGGAGUCUGCAACCCGACUCCGUGAAGUUGGAUUCGCUAGUAAUCGCGCAUCAGCCAUGGCGCGGUGAAUACGUUCCCGGGCCUU
rnacentral:rRNA from 1 species